UAGCAAUUAAGCAUUGCUGCAAGAAUGGAUUUUUACUUAGAAUACCCUAGAAGAUAGCAUCUGGCUUUUGAAGAAAGAGCUUGAAUAAGGUCAAAAUAGAAACACCUUUAUCUCUGCAUGCUCCAUGUCGAUGACAACAUGCCUUCGCCGAAGAGAGUAGCUUCUCCAUGACCUUUUGGACUCUUCUAAUGCCUGAUCUGAUAAAAAAGAUCUGGCAGCCAGGGGUGAAAUGAACUUGAGCUGAGGUCAAAAAGUGAAUCUCAUCACUCUUGAAUACUCAAGCAGCAAAGGUAUAUACCUUGGCAUUAGUCCCUUUCUCUGGAGGAACCGAAAUCUUGCAUGCAAACAUCUAAUGCGUAGAAAAUUUGGAUACAGUCAAAAUGGAGCUGCUCAUUAAUUCUGAAAUGUUCUCAUGUUCUACUGCAGAUUAUCUUUCCAUCACAGCACAAGUCUACCAUGUGUAGUACUUCAGUGCUGAGAUGCACUGAUCUCAUCAAUGUUCUCCUACAGAAGUUAAUAAGCCUGUGAGGAAAGUUUAUUUACAUUUUAACUAAUCCAUGUCUAGCCACUGUUGAUACAGUAAAGAAGAAAGUGCCUCAAAUAUCUUCAAGAAAAACAGUAGUUGUUUUGUGAAAUGGAAAGCGCUAAUGAUGUUGAUAGCUGCAACACGGUUAUUUUGAGCAUUACAGUGUACGUUAUUUAUGUUUCUAUUCAGCUUCUGCAAAUUGCAAGUGCUAUGAUGGUGUUGGAGUUUUCAGUUUUAUUUACUUUUGAAGAAUUUGGGUGCUUUACAUUCUAUUAAACCUGAGCUAGUCACUUUUUUAUAAAACAGUGUGUGCUAUUUUAAUGUAACAGGGAUUUAUGUGUAACAAAUAUCUUUUCUAAUGCCUUAAAAGCUAGCAAGGAUAGAAAUAAAUGUAUUUUAUGAACAUUCCUUUCAUUUUAAAGUGUUGCUCAACCAAGACAAUUUAUAACAUAAAUGAGGAUUUGAUCUUGUGUGCCAGCAGCUGUCAAAAAGUAGGAAGUUCUUACCUCAAUUACCGUGUUAUAAAAGGGCAUUGCUCACCCAAGCACUCAUCUUUUUUGAAAAUCUCCAGGUGCUCUUCUGGUCACGAACAAAUCUACAGAUCUACCACUGAAGUUGGGCAACCAAUUCAAGACCACUGUUUCUACACAGCAGCCUUUUGGGGAGUUAGAUUUCUAUGGCCUAUGAGCUGCAGAGAUGAACAGAGCAAAGCCCUGUUGUACUGCAUCAGCUACUUUGUUCUACAAGACAGCACUCACACUUAGACCACCUUGUUGUAGCUGUGUUUGCAGAUGACACAAGCAAGCACUCUGAGCAGACUUCCCCUCCUUUCUCAGUCCUGUGAGCAGGAUGGCAGGGGAGAAGAAAAUGCAGAUGAAGCUAUUAAUGUAUGUCUAUAAUUAGGAGUUUUGGAAAUGCAGCUGAUGUGCUGCGAUUUGCCACAUGACGGAACACACUCUGUAUCUGUAUUUCCUGUUACCAGCUUAGUUCUGACUAUGCCAUCUCCUACGACAACAUAUUUUUAGCUCAUUUUGUAAUCUGAAGAUCGUUCUGGAUUAAACAUUAAAAGUCAAUGUAAGAAAGACCUACAGUAGGAAUAUUUUUAUAGUAAUUUUCCAUCAUAAAAAGGUCUCGGUAAUAGUGAUGCCUGAUCUACCUCAGAAAUCCCUGUGAACAUAAAAUAAUUAACAAAUUAAUUAAAACUGAUAAUCUCCCUUUGAAUGGAGUUGCAAUCAAGCAAAGGGAGACAUGGAAAACAUUCCAUAAAAUCUAUCAA
ensembl:lncRNA